rnacentral:rRNA from 1 species
CUGCUGCCUUCCGUAGGAGUCUGGGCCGUGUCUCAGUCCCAAUGUGGCCGUUCAACCUCUCAGUCCGGCUACUGAUCGUCGACUUGGUGGGCCGUUACCUCACCAACUAUCUAAUCAGACGCGAGCCCAUCUUUCAGCGGAUUUCUCCUUUGAUAACAGAACCAUGCGGUUCCGUUAUUUUAUGCGGUAUUAGCAGUCGUUUCCAACUGUUGUCCCCUCCCUGAAGGACGAGGUUGGUCUCUACGUGUUACUUCACCCGUCCCCG